rnacentral:misc_RNA from 1 species
GGUGUAGAUCGGCCUUGGCCUUCCUUGUUAAUGGAUCUGCGCAAUAAAGGUGAAGAUUGAUCCCUGAAAUCCAUAGAUGCUCUCUCCCGUAUCUGUUCCAGGUAAAACUUACGACGUUGUUCACUCUCACUAAGUCUCUCAGCUAAUUUCUGUGCCAGCAAUUCAGCUUCUUCUUGCUGGGCUUUGGCACGCUCCUCCCUCCUCCGAAGCUGUUCAAUGGCCCUUGCUUCACGAGCUGCACUUGAUGCUUUGCGUUCCUCUUCUCUUCUAACUUGAGCCUCUUCCUUUUUCCGCUGUGUCUCAG